rnacentral:rRNA from 1 species
CCUACGGGAGGCAGCAGUGAGGAAUAUUGGUCAAUGGACGAGAGUCUGAACCAGCCAAGUAGCGUGAAGGAUGACUGCCCUAUGGGUUGUAAACUUCUUUUAUAUGGGAAUAAAAUGUUCCACGUGUGGGAUUUUGUAUGUACCAUAUGAAUAAGGAUCGGCUAACUCCGUGCCAGCAGCCGCGGUAAUACGGAGGAUCCGAGCGUUAUCCGGAUUUAUUGGGUUUAAAGGGAGCGUAGGUGGAUUGUUAAGUCAGUUGUGAAAGUUUGCGGCUCAACCGUAAAAUUGCAGUUGAAACUGGCAGUCUUGAGUACAGUAGAGGUGGGCGGAAUUCGUGGUGUAGCGGUGAAAUGCUUAGAUAUCACGAAGAACUCCGAUUGCGAAGGCAGUUCACUGGACUGCAACUGACACUGAGGCUCGAAAGUGUGAGUAUCAAACAGGAUUAGAUACCCCUGUAGUC